rfam:Streptomyces albulus strain NK660, complete genome.
CUUCAUGGAGCCGAUCAACACGGGGCGGUCCGCCGGGCGUUGCUGUCCGUACGUGGCGAGCAGGGCCUGUGCCUC